rnacentral:rRNA from 1 species
AUUGAACGCUGGCGGCAGGCUUAACACAUGCAAGUCGAACGAGUGGCGGACGGGUGAGUAAUGCUUGGGAAUCUAGCUUAUGGAGGGGGAUAACUACGGGAAACUGUAGCUAAUACCGCGUACCAUAGGAUGAGCCCAAGUGGGAUUAGGUAGUUGGUGAGGUAAAGGCUCACCAAGCCGACGAUCUCUAGCUGGUCUGAGAGGAUGACCAGCCACACUGGUACUAGGCCACGGCCAAGCCUCCAACGGGAGGCAGCAGUGGGGAAUAUUGCGCAAUGGGGGCAACCUGACGCAGCCAUGCCGCUGGAAUGAAGAAGGCCUUCGGGUUGUAAAGCACGUUCAGCGAGGAGGCGUUACUCGCAGAAGAAGCACCGGCUAACUCCGUGCCAGCAGCCGCGGUAAUAC